rnacentral:rRNA from 1 species
AUAACAAUACAGGACUCUUUCGAGGCCCUGUAAUUGGAAUGAGUACACUUUAAAUCCUUUAACGAGUAUCUAUUGGAGGGCAAGUCUGGUGCAGAGCGACUGACCCGUGCGUGCUGCAGCUGAAA